GACGAACGCUGGCGGCGUGCUUAACACAUGCAAGUCGAGCGGUAAGGCCCUUUCGGGGGUACACGAGCGGCGAACGGGUGAGUAACACGUGGGUGACCUGCCCUCAGCUCUGGGAUAAGCCCGGGAAACGUGGGUCUAAUACCGGAUAUGACUCCAUGACGCAUGUUGUGGGGUGGAAAGCCUUGUGCGGCUGAGGAUGGGCCCGCGGCCUAUCAGCUUGUUGGUGGGGUGAUGGCCUACCAAGGCGACGACGGGUAGCCGGCCUGAGAGGGCGACCGGCCACACUGGGACUGAGAUACGGCCCAGACUCCUACGGGAGGCAGCAGUGGGGAAUCUUGCGCAAUGGGCGAAAGCCUGACGCAGCGACGCCGCGUGAGGGAUGACGGCCU
rnacentral:rRNA from 1 species